rnacentral:lncRNA from 1 species
AGUUAACUGCAAAACAGCCUCAGGCAGGUCCUUCAGGAGAUAUUCCAGAAGAAGACAUCAUUAUCAUAGGAGAUGACAGCUCCACGCACUGUGUUUUAAAUGAUCAUUGAUGUGCAAGGCAGUGCCCCUGGAGCAGGGAGAAACACAAAAUGAAUCAGUAACAGAGGCAGCACUCGAGGUAAGAGUCUGGCAUUCAUUCUCCCAUUUCCAAAUUUUGCUAUUUUUACCGUGACAAAGGCUGUAUAUUUUUGAAUAAGUCAUUUUAUUUUCUUUGGUAGUUUGCCUAAUUGAUUAUAUGAAAAACUAAUUAGAAUACUGAAUUUACUGUAUAUUUACCAUGAUAACUAUAAAAGCAGAAAAUUAGCUUUGAAAAUCAAAUAACAUAUUUAGUAACACACAUUCAUUUUUAUAAACACACAUAAAGACACCGGGUUCUCAGUAAUGCUCUAGUCCAGGGGUUCUCAAAGUAUGGCUUCAGACAAGCCCCAUUUGCAUCACCUAGGAAAUUGCUAAAAUGCAGAUUCUCAGGCCCUACCUACUGAUCUACUGAAUCAGAAACUCUGAGGGUGAGACCAAGCAACCUGUGAUUUCAUAAGCCCUAUAGCGAUAUUAAGGCACACUAAAGUUUGAGAAUCACUGCUCUAAUCUAGUAUACUAAGCUUUAAAGUGGUGUUUCAUAAAAAUAAGAUGAGACUUUAAUACUACUAAUUCAGCCUUCAUUACUUUUCACAGGAAAUGUCUGCAAGGACACUUAGAAGCAGGUGAAAUUUAUCUUUUUGUGGCUUUAGGGCAGCCAGAAAGGGGCAUACCAUCUCCUUCCUCCUUCCUCCUUCCUCCCAACCAAUCAUUUUGCUGAGAUUUUUGGUUUUGAUGUGUUUUCACUUUGCCACCUCUUGAGACAAUCAAAGUUGGAGUACAUUUCCUUGGGCUGAGUUAGCAGUUCCUAGCUAGAAUACGAUUUCUAUUAAAUCUUCACCCUAUUACCUUUAAGCAGCUUAACAGUGUCAUUAAUUACUAUAAAGUCCAGGCUGAAGAUUUUUAAAGAAAUUGUAAUCUUAUAGCUUAUUAGCUGUUUCAGGUUAGAAAUACUAACAUGUCCUAUAUAAAUACUUGUACUUUUUAAUAUUUGUCAUAAUAGAAUAAUAUAUGGCUUUAAACUAGACAUUGAAAAAUAGAAGAGACCUCUGGAAAUUGAAAUUAGUUUCCCAAAAGUCUUUUAUAAUCAGCACCCUCCACAUAGAAGCAUUUAGAUAAAGGACAAAAAACCAUCAAAAGAUAUAAAUAAUUUUUAACUUAUAUAAAGCAUAAGUUAUUAAAUCUCUACAUCACCAUGAGUUGCUAUUCAAUGCCUUUGGCCUCAGUGACUAAAUACAAGGAUGAUUUCAAUAUUAAAAGUACAAGUUUUACUCUUUUUUCUUCUUUUUAAUGAUUUCUUUUUUCUUUUCUUUUAUCUUCUUUUUUUUUUUUUUUUAUUUUUUUUGAGAUGGAGUCUAGCUCAGCUGCCCAAGCUGGAGUGCAGUGGCACAAUCUCGGCUCACUGUAAUCACCAUCUCCCGGGUUCAAGCUAUUCUCCCGUCUCAGCCUUCCGAGUAGCUGGGAUUACGGGCACCGCCAUCAUGCCUGGCUGAUUUUGGUAUUUUAGUAGAGACAGGGUUUUACUAUGUUGGCCAGACUGGUCUUGAACUCCUGACCUCAGGUGAUCCGCCUGCGUCGGCCUCCCAAAGUGCUAGGAUUACAGGCGUAAGCCACCACG